rnacentral:rRNA from 1 species
UCGAGCGGAUGAGAAGAGCUUGCUCUUCGAUUCAGCGGCGGACGGGUGAGUAAUACCUAGGAAUCUGCCUGGUAGUGGGGGACAACGUUUCGAAAGGAACGCUAAUACCGCAUACGUCCUACGGGAGAAAGCAGGGGACCUUCGGGCCUUGCGCUAUCAGAUGAGCCUAGGUCGGAUUAGCUAGUUGGUGAGGUAAUGGCUCACCAAGGCUACGAUCCGUAACUGGUCUGAGAGGAUGAUCAGUCACACUGGAACUGAGACACGGUCCAGACUCCUACGGGAGGCAGCAGUGGGGAAUAUUGGACAAUGGGCGAAAGCCUGAUCCAGCCAUGCCGCGUGUGUGAAGAAGGUCUUCGGAUUGUAAAGCACUUUAAGUUGGGAGGAAGGGCAGUAAGCGAAUACCUUGCUGUUUUGACGUUACCGACAGAAUAAGCACCGGCUAACUCUGUGCCAGCCGCCGCGGUAAUACAGAGGGUGCAAGCGUUAAUCGGAAUUACUGGGC